CACGUAGUUAGCCGUGGCUUUCUGGUUGAAUACCGUCAGUACGUGAACAGUUACUCUCACGCAUGUUCUUCUUCAACAACAGAGUUUUACGAUCUGAAAACCUUCUUCACUCACGCGGCAUUGCUCCAUCAGGCUUUCGCCCAUUGUGGAAGAUUCCCUACUGCUGCCUCCCGUAGGAGUUUGGGCCGUGUCUCAGUCCCAAUGUGGCCGAUUACCCUCUCAGGUCCGGCUACGUAUCAUUGCCUUGGUGAGCUAUUACCUCACCAACUAGCUAAUACGCCGCGGGUCCAUCCAAAAGCGAUAGCAGAGCCAUCUUUCAAGCUACGAUCAUGUGAAAGUAGUUGUUAUGCGGUAUUAGCACUUGUUUCCAAAUGUUAUCCCCCACUUUUGGGCAGGUUACCCACGUGUUACUCACCCGUCCGCCACUCACCAAGAUCUGAAUCAUGAAGCAAGCUUCAAUCAACAGGAUGGUUCGUUCGACUUGCAUGUAUUA
rnacentral:rRNA from 1 species